UUAGAUGUCCGGGGCCGCACGCGCGCUACACUGAAGGAAUCAGCGUGUGCUUUCCCUGUCCGGUAGGACUGGGUAACCCGUUAAACCUCCUUCGUGAUAGGGAUAGGAGUUUGCAACUAUUCUCCUUGAACGAGGAAUUCCCAGUAAGCACGAGUCAUCAGCUCGUGUUGAUUAGGUCCCUGCCCCUUGUGCACACCGCCCGUCGCUAUUACCGAUUGAAUGAUUUAGUGAGGUCUUCGGACUGGCGCUCGGAGCGGCAAUUCGCUGGGCCGAAGUGCCGGAAAGAUGACCAAACUUUGAUCAUUUAGAGGAAAUAAAAGUCGUAACAAGGUAACC
rnacentral:rRNA from 1 species